rnacentral:lncRNA from 1 species
CAUUUUUGACAUAAACUUCGCAAUCUAGACUAAUAAUGCAUAUACUUUUACCCUGAAAACAAAUAGAGAAUUUGCAUUAAAAAAUAACACUUCUUUACGUUUAAAUAUAAAGUAAAUGGUAUUAUUAGGAAUCAAUUCGUUUUUUUAUUUUUGAUUUCCAUGAUUUAUUAAAAGUAAAAAAAACAGGCCGAGACUCUCUUGAAAGAGUGCAACGCCGCUUCAGAAAGGUGAAGUCCCCACCACAAUUAAAUCGAAGGGAAAAUAAUUCACAAAGAAGAUAUAAUCGUAGAGAAAUAUUUUUACAUAUAUCCCAAUAUGUAGAUAAUGCAAUUCUUUAAAUCUUUUAGCUUAUAAAGAAGCUAAUGACGAACAACGAAUUAUUCAUGACUUAAAUCUGCGACGAUGGGCGUUAGAAGCCAAAGAACAAAUAAUAUUUUUUCAUUUAAAGAAGGAGCAACAUGGAUAUUAAAUUUAAAAAAAAAGGAAUUGUAUCUAAAAAAAUAAAAAAAUUUAUAAACCGUACAGUGAGAGACAAAGAAUAAUUAGAAGUUGCAUGCCAAGAAUUUAUAAAUACUGUAAAAUCCUUCAUUGGUUUUUUUGGAAUAAAAAGUAUAUACAAUGCUGACGAAAGUAGAUUUAAUUUGAAAAUUUAUUCAGGCAGAACGUUGACCAUACAGGGUGUUAAAACAGUUGAAGCUCCAAUUCAAUCGACGUCAGCAAUAACACAUAGUUAUACAAUAAUGCCCAUAGUUUCUGCAGACGGAAAAUUACAUUCACCUCUCUAUUUGGUUUUGAAAAAGACUAGUGGAAAUUUUGGUCCACGAGUUAAAGAAAUCUGUAAACAGGCCUGCAAACAUUUAUAUCGCUGCAUCGAAAUUGGGUAAAUUAACUAGAGAACACUUUCAAUCUUGGUUUAUAACUGUAUUUUUACCCACAAGUGGAAGCUUCAGUGUGCUAUUAUGAGAUUCUUGGACCGGACAUGUCCUACAACCCUUCAAGAAUUAAUGCCUUCUGAUAAAGAUGUACGAACUUUAACUAUACCAAAAAGGACAGAAAUAAUUCAAAUUUCUCUUGAUGUUUAUGGAUUUAGGAUUUGCAAGAAGUUUGUAAGAACAUUCAGUAAUCAUGUCGUAUUAUUUAAUUACCAUAUUAAUUUACACUUGAAAAAUAACAUUAUUAAAUCUUUAACGCUACUUUCUCCGCAAUUUCAUAAUCUUUUUAAGCACGCCUAGUUCAAGAGUGGAUAUAUCAAGGAACGGCCAUCACAAUUCCAAGUGGAUUUGUUUCUCUGGAAAAGACAUACAAGAGAUACCAUGUUCCAAAUGUAACGCCCCGGCAGUAAUACGUUGUUCUUAGUAUAAGCAAUACCUUUGUCUGCGUCAUUUCUUUGAGCAACGUCAUGAUUGCAAACAUUAUUAGGAAUAAAAAUAAUAAAAAGUCUUCAAAUAUAUGUAUAGCGUAAUACUUCUUAUCAGCAUGGUAAAAAUGUCAGCCAUAAAAUGCAUGCGUAUACUGUAUGUAUAUAGAAAAAAUAAUAUUUCUGUACAUAAAAAAUAUUAAUAUCAGCACAAUAUUAAUUAUAUAAAUUAUAGUAUAAAAUUAUAUAGUACACACAUACCAAAAA